rnacentral:rRNA from 1 species
UACGUAGGUGGCGAGCGUUGUCCGGAAUUAUUGGGCGUAAAGGGCGCGUAGGCGGAUUCAUAAGUCUGACUUAAAAGUGCAGGGCUCAACCCUGUGAGGGGUCAGAAACUAUGGAUCUUGAGUGCAGGAGAGGAAAGUGGAAUUCCCAGUGUAGCGGUGAAAUGCGUAGAUAUUGGGAGGAACACCAGUGGCGAAGGCGACUUUCUGGACUGUGUCUGACGCUGAGGCGCGAAAGCCAGGGGAGUGAACGGGAUUAGAUACCCCGGUAAUCCUGGCCGUAAACGAUGGGUACUAGGUGUAGGAGGUAUCGACCCCUUCUGUGCCGGAGUUAACGCAAUAAGUACCCCGCCUGGGGAGUACGGCCGCAAGGUUGAA